rnacentral:tRNA from 1 species
CGGGGUGUAGCUCAGCUUGGUAGAGUGCUCGCUUUGGGAGCGAGAGGCCGCAGGUUCAAAUCCUGUCACCCCGA